GACAGAGGGUGCAAACGUUGUUCGGAAUUACUGGGCGUAAAGCGCAUGUAGGCGGCCUGACAGGUCGGAUGUGAAAUCCCUCGGCUCAACCAAGGAAGUGCAUUCGAAACCGUCAGGCUGGAGUCCCGGAGAGGAAGGUGGAAUUCUCGGUGUAGAGGUGAAAUUCGUAGAUAUCGGGAAGAACACCGAUGGCGAAGGCAGCCAUCUGGACCGACACUGACGCUGAGGCGCGAAAGCUAGGGAGCAAACGGG
rnacentral:rRNA from 1 species